AAAUCUACCUGUACAGUAAGAACAUUAUGACGUGAGCUGGACAUGGACCAGGUGGCAGGUAUUUUCUGUUUCAUGUCUUUCUUUUUGUUCUUAUUCUGUAGUUUUACUCUAUUAUAUGCUGCUCAGAGACUGUAGAUUGGGAUGAGUUAUAAAACUUGUGAAGUAAAUAAAUAAUCAAGCUAGCGAAAGUCGUAAAAGUAGAAGGAAGUGUCCCCAGCUGUAUGUGCAGACAGAUGAAUUCUAGUAAUGGCAGAUUUCAGCCUCAAUUUAAAAAGUGUGAUGUAGCAAUAAGGCAAGGAAGCAAGGUUGCCAAUAUAUCUGGAGAGAAAACGUAUGGAUGGAUAGGUAAGAGAUAAAAAUGGGCUAGGUAGGUAAUUUGAGUGCUAGAUAUCCAGGGAGUGCUUGAACUUUCUCAACAAAAUACAGUUCAGUGUUGUUAAAAAUAGGGUUCUGCACAGAUAGAAAAAGUCAUAUGUACAAAUAUACAGGUACAAGAUAGGUACCUGACUCAGCAGUAGUACUUGUAGAAAAGUCUGGAUGUCCUGGUAGACCACAGAUGAUAAAGAAGAAUUAAAAGGACCGGGUAUGUUUAGCCUAAACAAGAGAAGGCUAACAGGAGUUAUGAUAGCAGCCUUUCUAUACUUGAAAAAUAGUCACAGAGAAGAGGGUAGUGCCCAAGGAUAGGACAAGAACUGAGUGGAAACCGUAUAGAGAGAAGUCUAAACUUAAAUUAAAUAAUAAUUUUCUGACCAUGAGAGCUAGUAAGCAGUGGAACAACCUACCUGCUGGAGUCAUGGGUUCUUCAUCACUGGAGGUUUUCCAACAAAAUUUGGACAGCCCAUUAUCUGGGUUUGUCUGAGAAUUCCAGCCCUGAGCAAGUGGUUGGGCUAGAAGACUUCCAAGGGCUUUUCCAACUUAUUCUAUGAUAUUUCAGGAGAGGGAUCUGAGGUACUAAACUAUGACUCCUAGAGUUGAAAUUACUGUUCUAACAAAAUUCAUAAGAUGCCCAAAAGGUCAUUCUUUAUGUGGGAUUAGAAAGUGGAUAGUGAACACCACAUGUUUAAACAAGGAACCAAGGGGGAUAAUUGAAUGUGCGUGCAGGUUCUAGUGGAAAAUAUUUUUAAAGAUAAAAUUAUCAAGCAAACAUAAGUUUGCUGAAUAUGGUUUCUGUAAAGUAAAUCCUCAAAAGACUAGGAGAUGCAUCUUGGGGGGGUGUUGGAUACAUCAGUGAAAAAAAUCUACACAACUUGUAGCUAUUUUUUAA